GCCAGAUCUGUCGUCAGCCCUCCGGGAUAGUGUGACCCUGUGACUGCCUUACGCUGUUGGAAGAGCAAGCACGGUGUUUACUGAGGUUUGGCUUCGAGCACUGAUUGGUGUGACCCCGGAGAACCUUCGGGCAGUGUUUUGCAACUCUGAGAGUGCAGUAAUUCCUCCUGUGGAGUUGGUCCUAGUCGGUGUGCAAACAAU
rfam:Tupaia chinensis contig34031, whole genome shotgun sequence.